GUAUCCCGUACACUUGUAGUGCCUCACCGCAAUCCGGCUAAGGGCGUUUCCCAUCGUCCCCCCAACAGUGACCUCCGACACCCCUCUCUCAGUUCUGUGCCCCCGACUCUGCUCCUGUCUCCACAGAUGUGACCGCCCCAGGAGCCUUGUGUCGCCCAGCAUCCCGCUUAUUUCACUUAGCGCAGUGUCCCCUUCCCCACUGUGCUAGCUGUCAGCUUCUCCUCCCGGAGGCUGAGCAGGUGCCGCUGCGUGGAGGCCCCUUCGCCAUCCCCCUGCUCCCAAGGCGACAGUGCCAGUCCUCUGGGACUCACAGCCCGCAGCUGCCUAUUUCUGCCGAGAAUGCCCGGAGUAGGGAUGCACAGAACACUUGCUGAAGGGACAGAAAGACACUGGGUUUGUUCGGGACUUUCGGAGGACCGAGCCUUCACUGGUGCCUGUGAGGAUCGACGCUGCCCUGGGAUUUCACUAAAAAUAAAACACAAUUUGCAGAGAAUGCUGAGAGGAGGCUUCUAUUUAUGGUUGUAAUGGGGUUAUUUAAGCAAUGCCAGAGAGCCCUUGAGUUAAAUAGGUCACCACUUUUCAUAGUUGAGUAUCGCUGGCAAACCCAUUUGAUGGACCCUCUCAAGCUGGACCAUUAAAUCAAGGAGCGGCAGGAUUUGAUGGUGUGGAGCCCAGAAAGCUCCCUCUGGAGCUGAGGCUCCACCUCCGUCUGUCCAGAGCUUGUCUCAAAGCGCCAUUCGCCCACCCCUCUUCCUAUGAAGCAGCAGCCCCUGGGCUUUCUCCUCUCUCCCUGCCUCCUUCUACCACUCUGCUGCUGGCAUUAGGGCUGCGGGACUUGAACCCAACGCAGAGAGGAGUGUGCAUGGGGCUGAAGAGGAGACAACGAGGCUUGAAGGGAAGCAUCUGCGUCAGUCCGUUCUUCGUUGCUGUAACAGAAUACAGUGUCAGGGCUUCUAGCUGGGCGUCCCCUCAGCGCCUCAGGUGCUCCUGGGUGCAGCUGCAGGAGGGGCUGGGCCGUGGGAGUGUGAACCGCUGGGCUGGCCGCCGUGGGU